rnacentral:rRNA from 1 species
UACCGAGGGUGCAAGCGUUGUCCGGAUUUAUUGGGUUUAAAGGGUGCGUAGGCGGCCCGUUAAGUCAGUGGUGAAAGCCUCCAGCUCAACUGGAGAACUGCCAUUGAUACUGACGGGCUUGAGUACAGACGAGGUUGGCGGAAUUGAUUGUGUAGCGGUGAAAUGCAUAGAUACAAUCAAGAACUCCGAUUGCGUAGGCAGCUAACUAGGCUGUAACUGACGCUGAGGCACGAAAGCGUGGGGAGCGAACAGG